CCUACGGGAGACAGCAGUGGGGAAUAUUGCACAAUGGGGGAAACCCUGAUGCAGCGACGCCGCGUGAGUGAAGAAGUAUUUCGGUAUGUAAAGCUCUAUCAGCAGGGAAGAAAAUGACGGUACCUGAUUAAGAAGCCCCGGCUAACUACGUGCCAGCAGCCGCGGUAAUACGUAGGGGGCAAGCGUUAUCCGGAUUUACUGGGUGAAAAGGGAGCGUAGACGGCAGCACAAGUCUGGAGUAAAAUGCCGGGGCUUAACCCCGGACCUGCUUUGGAAACUGUGCAGCGAGGGUGAGGAGAGGUAAGUGGAAUUCCUAGUGUAGCGGUGAAAUGCGUAGAUAUUAGGAGGAACACCAGUGGCGAAGGCGGCUUACUGGACUGUAACUGACGUUGAGGCUCGAAAGCGUGGGGAGUAAACAGGAUUAGAUACCCCGGUAGUC
rnacentral:rRNA from 1 species